AGAGUUUGAUCCUGGCUCAGGAUGAACGCUGGCGGUAUGCCUAACACAUGCAAGUCGUACGAGAGUUUUUAACUCUAGUGGCGGACGGGUGAGUAACACGUGAGAAUUUGCCUUUAGGAGGGGGAUAACAAUUGGAAACGAAUGCUAAUACCCCAUAUGCUUUCGAGUGAAAUGAAUUUUUUAUUUGCCUAAAGAGAAGCUCGCGGCUGAUUAGCUUGUUGGUAAGGUAAGAGCUUACCAAGGCGACGAUCAGUAUCUGGUUUGAGAGGACGAUCAGACACACUGGAACUGAGACACGGUCCAGACUCCUACGGGAGGCAGCAGUGGGGAAUUUUCCGCAAUGGGCGAAAGCCUGACGGAGCAAUACCGCGUGAGGGAAGAAUGCCUAUGGGUUGUAAACCUCUUUUUUCAGGGAGGAAUAAAUGACGUGUACCUGAAGAAUAAGCAUCGGCUAACUCCGUGCCAGCAGCCGCGGUAAGACGGAGGAUGCAAGUGUUAUCCGGAAUCACUGGGCGUAAAGCGUCUGUAGGUGGUUUAAUAAGCCAACUGUUAAAUCUUGAGGCUCAACUUCAAAAUCGCAGCUGAAACUAUUAGACUAGAGUAUAGUAGAGGUAAAGGGAAUUUCCAGUGUAGCGGUGAAAUGCGUAGA
rnacentral:rRNA from 1 species